GACGCGUGCGCGGCAGCGCGAGACUGAAGCGCCCAGCAGGAAGGAGCCCCGAGAGGCGGGCGGGAAGCAGGCUUGCGGGAGGGCCGCGCCUGGGGCGUACGUGCUGCCCCCACCGGCGGGGUACUCGCCGGAACGGGGGGCACUAGGGGCUCUCUUCUCAAAAACGAAGCAUCAUAAAAGCCAUCGAGCCUCUCAACAACGGCCGCCUGCCGUCUGCUCAGCUCAUACUUAGGGGCUCUGGAUUUUCAUCUGCUUUCGUGAUACGGAGGAGGGGGUGAGACCGACUAGAAAAAGUCAACAAAACCCACGGAAGCAACGUCACCUGACCUCUGAUGAGUCAUUGGAGAAACAUGAUCAGCCUUUUGCUACCAGUGCUACAGGGAGACUAUCUCUUGAUGCAGAACUGCUCAGCAAAGGGAACAAAUGAGGUAUCGGAGAACUGAUUUACUUAAGCUAUUCCCCCUAAAUAAGAUGUCAUCACCCUAACUAUUUUCACCUAUCAAAACUACCUCCGUUCUCCCUACUUCAGUCUAAUAAUGUUUCCACAAAUGUGAUCCAGGAAAACAAAAUAAACCAUCUGCUGUAGAUACAAAGAAUUAAUGCUCUAAAGGAGACAAUUCACCAGGCAUGAAAGUGGUUUAAAAUCAGUAAAUUACAUUCUUGCAGCUGCCAGAUGUGAAAUGAAAAAGGAUUAGAAAUUGUAAAAUACUUCCCCUCUUGUGAAAAACAUCUUUUUGAAGAGUUGACAGCCCUCUGGAUUACAGACUGAGGACUGGGUGCCCAUUGAGACAGACAAACAAUUUUGGUAAAGACGACGGUUUCUAUGGAAACAUUGAGGCUGCACAAAUGACAGGAAGAUGCAGCUGGGAGAGAGGGCCCCAUGGAAGUGAGACCGCACUUUUCUAAAGCCAAACUUCCCCAUCUUGAGCAGCCCUGUGAAGAGCUGAUACAGAAAUCAUCUUCAUGAUGCAUGCACCAAGAAGAAAGGUCAAACGAUGGUCAUGUCUGCAGGGAGGGAGAAGUUACUCCCCAAACGACCCCCAAGCCCACCGACCUGUUUCCCGAAGGUCCUGAAAGCACAAACUGUGCAUGCACCAAAGUCAAGAAGAUUCUAGAUGCAUAGACUGUGCACGACACCUAAUAAGUCUAAUGAGUUUGAGUGCCUGCCCGAAGGAGGGGCAAGGAGAUUAUAAAAGGGCCCCAGGGAGGCACGCCCUUCUGGAACUGGACCCCUCAACCGGCUGGACCAACGCGGGACCCAGGACUGGUGAAAUCUUUGUCUUCUCUCUCUCUCUACUGCUGACCAAGUCUGGGACUAGGAGAGGAUCCAUCUGCCCCUAGGCUCCUCUCUGAGAAGUCUAGAAAGCAAGGGGGUCCACUCUGAACCUCGUGACUCAAUGGAAGGGCUCUCCUUAUUUUCUUCCCUGAAGUGAUCCCCAAAUAAGCAAGGCCUGUAGUAUAUGUUUGGUGACAUAUGGUUAGCCCAUGUUACACAGUUUACUGACGUAGUUUCAUGCCAGUUCUUCUUGCGAGCGAAUAAAAGUUGCGUUUUGUGAGUUAAAGGAUCCCUGGUGCUGUUUCACUUUAAUCCUGACCUGGGAAUCGGCGAACCUGAGUCGUCAUCCUGAGAAACUGGGAUGUGACAGAGCUUUCCACAACUCCCAUCUCCCUGAAGCUGAUUAAGUGCUUACUAUUGCAACUUACAUUAAUAACCAGUAGGAGUGACUUGCCCAAACAAAAUGAAGAAGUUAAUAUAUAUUUGAUGGUCCAAGAAAUAACUUUCUCUCUUCCUGUCCUUCUUGGUCUUGCUCCAAUUAGUAAGCAUUUGUCCCAGUCUUUUUUCCAAGAAGGAACCAUGUUAACGUUCAGCGUUUUAUUUAUGUUCCUUUCUUCUUAUAUGUGCAGAGUAAGGCCAUUAGCAGCCAGAGACACCACACCAACUUUUUAAAAAACUUAAAGGAAAUAUUUAGUAAUAUAGAGAUUAUAAAGUAAUAAUAGAGAAUACAUAGUAAUAAUAGACAUUUCAAUUCCACAAUAUCACAGUUUUGCUCCCUUUCUAGAUACAUCAUGUCUCAAUCUGAUAGGGUUUUCACAAAGAAAGAAACUUUCCAAGGAACCUCAACUUGCUUUAUCACAAGCAGCAGUAUCAUUGUAAUCAAUGAGGCAAAGAUUCUGAGAAAAUAAGAGGCAAAUUUGACAUCUACACAUCUGAAUGUUUCUCUGGAAAACUAGGUUCUGCUUUUUUGGAGUACCAUCCAGUAAGCAAAUUACACCAAGCUUUACAGCACAGGAAUUCUAUGCUAAUUUGUUGUGCCUCCCAUGGGGACACGCUGCAAUUUUUUCUGACUCUUUUUUUCUUCUCUGUCUUUUAAAACUAAGAUGCACUACCACAUACUUCGUCCCAUCUUGGUAUUCCUUUCCCAACUGCUCCCUCUAAUUACCUUUGCCUAGGCAUCUCCACAGCUCCCAGCCCCUAUCACCAUCUACACGCCACUUGCUCUUGUCCACACUAUGCUCAUUUUCAAAACCUUCUUCUUCCACACUGUCUGUUCUGGGGAGAAAGGACAUCAUCAGGUAUACAAAGCUCCUAAUUUUAGCUCCGGUGCAAACACAGGACACAGUUAUUACAGUUGUAACCUGUAGUUAAAACUACAAGUAAAUCAGCCAGCAACAAGAUAUGCAGAAAACACCACGUUUGUUGCUU